rnacentral:misc_RNA from 1 species
UUUCACCCUUAUCAAGGAAUAUCAGCCAAAGGUUAAUCCUGAGGUCAAGGAAUUCUCUUUCAAUGUAACUUCUGAUAGGCUAGUUCUUACCUUCACUCCUUUUGCCAAUUCAAUUGCUUUUAUAAAUGCACUGGAAGUUUUUUCUCUUCCUGAUGAGCUUAUUCCUCCGGGUGCCACCACCAUUGGUCCCCAGGGCAAAUACCAAAAUCUGGGGAAACAAGCAUUAGAAACAGUUGAGAGGUUGAAUAUG